UUUCAAGUAAUCAAGCCAUCAAAGAUGGUGAGCAUUCUGGCAAAAGUAAAGAGAUAGUACUCGAGGAUCAAGAAUCGGAAUACUCGAAACUCGAUUUCCAUUACAGGAAAAUGAGAAACCGAUAUUAAAGCCUUGCGAGGUU